GACGAACGCUGGCGGCGUGCCUAAUACAUGCAAGUAGAACGCUGAAGGAGGAGCUUGCUCUUCUGGAUGAGUUGCGAACGGGUGAGUAACGCGUAGGUAACCUGCCUGGUAGCGGGGGAUAACUAUUGGAAACGAUAGCUAAUACCGCAUAACAGUAGAUGUUGCAUGACAUUUACUUAAAAGGUGCAAUUGCAUCACUACCAGAUGGACCUGCGUUGUAUUAGCUAGUUGGUGGGGUAACGGCUCACCAAGGCGACGAUACAUAGCCGACCUGAGAGGGUGGUCGGCCACACUGGGACUGAGACACGGCCCAGACUCCUACGGGAGGCAGCAGUAGGGAAUCUUCGGCAAUGGACGGAAGUCUGACCGAGCAACGCCGCGUGAGUGAAGAAGGUUUUCGGAUCGUAAAGCUCUGUUGUAAGAGAAGAACGAGUGUGAGAGUGGAAAGUUCACACUGUGACGGUAGCUUACCAGAAAGGGACGGCUAACUACGUG
rnacentral:rRNA from 1 species